rnacentral:misc_RNA from 1 species
UCCGGCUUAUCACCGGCAGUCCCACUAGAGUGCCCAACUUAAUGAUGGCAACUAAUGGCAAGGGUUGCGCUCGUUGCGGGACUUAACCCAACAUCUCACGACACGAGCUGACGACUGCCAUGCACCACCUGUGUACGUGUCCCGAAGGAAAACCAGCAUCUCUGCUGGUAGCGCGGGAUGUCAAAGGCUGGUAAGGUUCUGCGCGUUGCUUCGAAUUAAACCACAUGCUCCACCGCUUGUGCAGGCCCCCGUCAAUUCCUUUGAGUUUUAAUCUUGCGACCGUACUCCCCAGGCGGAUAACUUAAUGCGUUAGCUGCGCCACCCAAGCACCAAGUGCCCGGACAGCUAGUUAUCAUCGUUUACGGCGUGGACUAC